CUUUAGGAUUUCUAAAAUUGUUUGUUUACUCAUGUACAUUGUUUGCAUCUGUGAAUAUAUUUUUAUAUUUAGGGAUUAUCCACUGCCUCUAGAAAGUUGUUUGUUUCAUCCAACGCUUUUGUGUGGUUUUGCAACUACUAAUUCCUGUUAUCUCUAUGUUUGUUGGUGUAUGGCUGCUGCUUUUGCCUUCAUGGGAAAUGAUUAGGCAGGCUGACUACAUAGUAAUUGUUAGUACUCUUUGAUGAUAGAGAAGUGAAGAUCUUGUUGUUACUGCAAACUCAGGCUAUGUUGUUGACAAUGACAUCAGGGGACAUGUAUAUUGAACAUGUGUUGAUCCACUAAUGGCAAAUCAGCUACCAGCUGGCUAUCAAGACUUUGCUUAGGUGUUAUUAGCCGCUACAUCCUCCGCUUCAUUGAGCCUCGACCCCCCACUCUUCUGAGGUUUCGUCAGGUGAUUGCCUGCUUCAAUUCUACAUUCUGGACAAAGCUUGUAGGGUUAGCGACCUUGGUUGGGUGAUUUUGACGAUAUGAUGCAUUUCUUAGGAAAUAGCUCGAGAAGUGAUGUGUGAUGUUGCCUGCAAAUUGGCUUGUUUUGCUUAGAGCUUUUGGCAUAUGUGGUGAUUUAUUACCGGUGGUUAGAAUUUAGAAGCCUGCUGCUAGCCUCAUGCUUGCUGUCAUCAUAUACACAUAGUAUAGAUGAAGUUGGAUGAUAAUUCUCUCGUAUCACUAUGUGGGGCCUGAGCCUCAUACUAAUCUCGCACGGUCAAGUUUAUUGCUGCAAUUUGAUGUUACGAUUUAUGCUAAUGUAAACAUGACCAAGCUAGAGGAGAGCUUUGGUUUUUUUUCGUAUUUGUUCUGAUAGCAUAAUGUCUCCUAGGUUCGAUAAUGUCUUCUCUCCAAUCUUGUUCCCUUCCCAGCUUCCACCUAUCUUCAUGAGCAAGUGUAGCUCCAUCCAUGACAAAGGUAUAGAUCAGAGAGGUCUGAGGAGGGACAGGGUUGGAAGCUAGGAAGGGAAGUAAACUUCCUGAGCUUCAGUUCUAGGUGAAAAGAGAGUGUUUUUUAUUUUGUAUUUACUUAUUUUUUUCUCCGACCAGAGAAUUGUUUUGUUGGACUACGACUGGAUUGAAGUUGCUAGCCUGAAUGCAAAUUUCCUUGAGAUGGUUCAUCACCAAAAUCCUUAAGAGAUGUUCGAAGGUGGGUCAGUGAGUGGUGAUGAUGUUCAUGAGAAUUCCCACACAUUGGUAAUUUUUAUAUGGAGGUGCAGAGUGCCACGAUCUCAAAUCUAGAGCAAUCUUGUGUCAGUGUUCACGUAUUGUGAUUAUCUAUGUGGCAUUGGGAUAGUAAGUUCCCCCGUCCAUACAAGGGCGCUAUUUACAAUAUGAGGGAACUUAUGAUUUAUAGGAGCUACAACUUAUGAUUUAUAAUGCUGCUAUUCCAUGGUUAUAUAUAAAAUAAAACAAAUUAAGUUUUUCCUUUAGGUUUUCAUCACAGUUCCUUUUCAUGAUUCUGUAGCACUGGAAUGAUUAGUUUGUUCUUCAGUAACUUCUUCUUCAGUAUCAUAGUUAGUAAACAUAUGAGGUUUGGCAAGUUAGUAUUUACCAUUGAUGCUUGAAAUAAAUAGCAUGACUGGUGUUGCACCAUGUGUGUGUGUAGGUUUUUCCUUUUAGUUUACUUAUAUAUGCCUCUCCUAUAUUCUAAAACAAAUUCGAACUGUUAGUAUUUACCUUAAUCUCUUCCACAUGGAAGAUAGGAAAACUACAUACGGAAGGAUGAGUUCUAUAGCGUAUCAUAUUCAGGCAUUUGCACUAUUUUCUUGAUUACCUCACUAUGAUUAUUGUUGUAGACUUUUAGUAUAUUCCUCACAGGCGAAUCCGUAUUUUCUUCAAAUCUAUAGCACACAUCUUUUUGCUAUAGUCAUUUCGCCAUGGAUGCAACAGUCUAGGAAAACAAGAUACCUGUUUGUUUUCAUUCAUUUGCCUUUUUAUGUGAGAAGUGCCUCCAUGGGAUUAGCGAGGUGUAUUUAUGCUUACCCCUUUUUAGUGUUUGGUGAAGCCGAUGGACUGUGAACAUUAUGUACCACAUAUUGUGGCCUUUUUCCUUUUUAUUACUUAUAAUAUGUCAUGACAAUUUAUUUUCCUGAGCCAUUUAGUCAACUAGCCAGUCAAGGAUAGCCAAUGGUCUUUUGGCUAUUUGUUUGUUCAUUUCAUUCAACAUGCAUGUUUCUGGAGUAGUCUUGGCGCAAGACACAUAAUCAAAGUUGAUUUUCUUAUAAGCUGAUCAUCACAUAGCUAAUUGGUAGUUACACUAGCUGAGCUUGUCCUAUGCUCAUUGUACAGGAUAGAUAAAGUGUAUGUGAUCUUCUUGAUGAGGAGAAGUCUUUUUAGAGAUUCCAAUACAAAUUACAUACGGAUGUAUAUAGACAUAUUUUAGAAUGUAGAUUCACUCAUUUUGUUCUAUAUGUAGUCCGCAUUGAAAUCUCUAAAAGGACUUAUAUUUAGGAACGGUGGGAGUUGGAUACAAUUAAGUAUUUAAAUUAACCAUAUGAGCACUAUUUCUUUGAGUGCCACAAGGAUGUCAUCUUUAUUCACAUGUUAUGUGUUAUGUGUUCACAUCAACUUCUGCCCUUUGUUUUCUGCAGAACACGACAACUGUUCGUCACCUAAAAGGACAGGAUGACACCAAAGGAGUUAUGAUAGCAGCACUUAUAGGCAUUGAGGAAUUGGCAAAGAGAUUACGCUUCAUAGGUAUGAAGUUAGAACAACGGCUGGAACUAUGAAAGGCCGUUUCUAAUUACCUUUGUUGGAUCUGUCUUACCUACAAUGCAUGUGUGACCCUUGGAGAAGCCACUUUUUGUUUCGUCUGCAGUAUACUCCAUGUUUAGUUCCAAUGAUGCCCUAACCCUUUUGUUCCUGCUCUGAAGAAUAGGACAUGUAUAGGCUUCAGAUUUUUGUAAUCAUCUAUGUGCUAAACAUCCCUUUGUGGUCAUGUGUUCUUUAUGUAAUCAAGUAUCUAUUCAUGAUGAUAUAUAUGCCCAGCUAAUGUUUGAAAAGAUCCAUCAUCUGUAUCACCACUGCUGGAUAACCACUAUAAAUCUACUAGCAGUACCGGUCAUAUAAAAUAGCUACCGUUACCGAUCAUUUGUAUUACCACUGCUGGAUAACCAUUAUAAAUAUAUCAGCUAAUGUUUC
rnacentral:lncRNA from 1 species